rnacentral:lncRNA from 1 species
CAUUGGAAGUGCACCAAAGAUGAAAAAUGCAGGGACUGAACAGAGAAGCUGAGUGGAAGAGAAGCCAGGUAAAGAAGGAACACAUAUUUUUUUCAGCCCACAGCUUCAUCCAUUUUCAGUGAAGCAAGGAUUUCCUUUAAAGUGAAGGGAGACUCCUAGACCUUUCUAUUCCAUUUCCAGGCACGACCAGACACCAAAACCAUCACAGAGGAAGCUUGAAAAGAAAGACUUCAUGAAGACUGUCGGUCAAGACACAACCGGGGAACAGAAACAUCUCAGCAGCAGGAGACCAGCUGCCAGAUGCCCUCGUGGUCACCCUCUGAGACCUGCCUCCGCCAAGGAAACUCCCACCCAGGGCAACACAGACAUAACCCCAAGUAAUACAAUCAGCUACGGG